rnacentral:rRNA from 1 species
GACGAACGCUGGCGGCGUGCUUAACACAUGCAAGUCGAGCGGAGCGGUGAACGGGUGAGGAACGCGUGCGUAACUGCCCCCCUCUCUGGGAUAACAGUUGGAAACGGAUGCUAAUACCGGAUAGUGGGGGCUGACUCGCGUCCUAUCCGCUUGUUGGUUGGGUAGUGGCCUACCAAGGGGACGACGGGUAGCCGGCCUGAGAGGGCGACCGGGCACCUUGUGCUGAGGUACGGCCCAAACUCCAACGGGAGGCAGCAGUGGAGAAUAUGGCCCAGUGGGGGAGACCCUGAGGCAGCGACGCCGCGUGCGGGAUGACGGCCUUCGGGGUGUAAACCGCUUUCAGCCAUGACGCGGUAGUGUCAGAAGAAGCACCGGCUAACUACGUGCCAGCAGCCGCGGUAAUUC